GGGCACCGUCCUGGAGGAAAAGGACGUGACCGGGGCUCAGCCGCCUGGAAGUUGUGUCGGGCGUGGGCCAGGGAUGCAGUGCUGCCCAGAGCCCCAGAGGAAGCAGUGGGAAGGCCGUAUGGGCUCCUCUCUGGGAGGGAUGCGCCUGGUCCUGCCCUUGCCAUUUAUGCGCCUCACAUCUCCGUGCCCAGAGGCUCCUUCCUGGCUCCAGAAGACGUUCAGGUUUAUUCAGGCUGCACCCAAGUAGGAAGACUGAAUUCUCGCUCCUGACAGAUGACAGCACCACCCUGCUGUACAGAGGCGGGAGGAUGCCCUGUCUCCUUGCACUCCUACUGUUUAUUAUCUGUAAAUAGUGAAUUUCAACUUGACAGCCCGGGGCCAAAGCACUGUUCCUCCGUCCUUGUCCACACUACAUGAAGAGGGGAGACUGCCUUUUCAUCGUUCACCCCAGCUUGCUCUUCGAAGUGAGUUCCAGCCCUGGUGGAUGGCAGCUGCCCCUCUUCCAGCCCAGGUUCCCCUGGAGACACAAGCGUACUCUUUUCCAUCCUCAUACAGUCAAUACACGUCUUCCUUGUAGUGCUGAGAUUCAUCAGGAGGCAUUGUAGGCUCCUAGUCACAAUCAGUCUUUUAUAGGACGAAGUACUGGCACUUUGACUUUUUUUUUUUACAGCAUUUGGGGAAGUUUGAACAAGCUACCCAAGUAUUCACUUGAGAGCCUUUUCAUCCCAUGUGAGUGACUGAAUUCUGCACCUGGCUGUGGGUGCCCCCCACGCAAGAUCUCCCAGGGCCCUGUUCUGUGUGUCUGGCCCUCAAUUUCCUUGGCAACAGGCUCAUGCUGGGCCCCCUUCAGCCGGGCAACUGCCUGGCUGACCAGUGUCUUCAAGGGAAGGAAGGGCAGAAGAUCCAUCACAGCCGAUCUUAUUAAACACAAAGUUCCGUUGAUGACAACAGGCGUUGGGGUAAAUAAUCAAGGCAGCAGGAGGUUUGUUGCCAUAGAGAACCAACAACAGGACAGCUCUUCCUGAAGUGCUGUCCUCUCGAUGCAUUUAGAACUUGCUUCAAAUGUAUGUAACUCUUGAGUCAGCUACUUGUUCCUGUGCCCUUGAAUUCACAUGUUUCUUAACAUUUAAAAUCAGUGGCUAAAAAAUUCCUCUGGAGGGUUCCCCCCACCCCCAAAAGAAAUAGGGAAAAAAAAAAAUCCCAUCACUGCCUGGUUUGAUUUAGCUCAUUUUUAAGGGACUCACUUGAAAGCCAGGGCUGUGUACCCAAGGUCCCCUCCCUGACCCAGCCUGAAGUCAGGCUUCUGUGAAAGGCACAGCCCUGUCUGCUCUGCUGGCUCUCAGCUGCAAGUGUGUGUGUGUGUGUGUGAUGGAAUGGGGAGUGUGCACACACAUGCACACACACACACACUGGAAAGGGUCUGAGUUUUGUACUCACAGAGAAAGUCAAGUAUCACUAGCUUUGAUGGCUUGUGUUGGAGGAUGGGACAGCCCAAGACCCCAACUGGGAGCACACCAUCCAAUGUGACGUGGAAGACAGCCAUUGUGUCACAACCCAGGUCUUCUAGUCGAAGGGUGGUAUUGGCUCUGGGCGGCUCAUAUAGGAGCUCCUGGGGGAAGUCCUGUAGCUGGACCUGGGUCACCUCUCUGCUCUUGACAGUGCAUCCUUAGGGAGCUCCACCAGACCCUCAGCUCAUGACUGAAUCCCUUGCAGGUUGGGACCAGUCUAAACACAAUCAGCGUCUUACCCUGAUGAGGCACUGGGAUUUCCCCUAAGUCUGCUGAAUUAUUAGAUACUAAUUAAUCAAAGCCACCACAAUUUGAGAUAAACUGUUUCAGCAUAAUGAGACACCCUUACACUGAGGAAAAUGUAGGAGAGAAGCAAAAGGAAGCCAGCCAUCGCAGGUGCCAAAGGGGCCGCUGUUGGUUUGAUGCUUUAUGAAAUUUUGGGAGGUUGCAUUGAAGCACUUUAUAAAACCAGUUUUUGAGAAAUUCUAGAAGCUGGUUUGGAACUGCAUAGCUCUGUCAAACCAGAUGAAAACCAGAAAAGGAUGCUAUGAACCUGGUGAUAUUUCCAGCAACCCCGUGAGCCUUUGGGUCACCAUAAGGAGUUAGAAUAAUAGACCCCAUUCAAAUGAACAGGCAAAGCUAAUCUCACUGGAGUUCUCUUCAUUCAAAUCCUUGUUCUGCCUGGCGUAUAUUAGGGAUCCGAGAAUGUGUGCACAAGGGGCCAGGUUUCAGGUUAUGUCAUGUUGGUAUAAGCUCUUUCUGAAUGUAAAGCUAUUUUCACUGUCAUUUCUAACAAUCCCAUAGGUUUGUGUAUAUUGUAAAAAUGUUGAAUAAGGACAUAAUUGUCUAAAUUUCAUAGUGUUUUAUUUUGAGGUGAGUUUUGUUACAGUUUAUAAAAGAUAUUUUCCUAUUUAGACCUCAGGGCUAUUUGGAGACCUACAAAUAAAUGUGACCCCAGCAGUUUCAAUUCUUGACAUCUAAAAGAUUAGUCAUCUUUAAGGGAAAUAGGAUUAUUCAGCAGGAAGAAUGUGUCUUUUCCUUUUAACUUCUAACAAACUAUGUAUCUAAAGUUUAAAUGUACAGCAAAAAAGGAUACAGUCAUGUAAAAAUGUGGGAAAAUUGUGGCUACAGAAUUAAAAAUCACCUGUGAAAUAAACAUUCUUAUG
rnacentral:lncRNA from 1 species